AUAUCUCUCCGUACGGGAAGGAUGAGAAGCUUCGACUAAGGUUCGAUUCGAGCGCAGCGAGAACGCGUUGCCGCAGGCAACG
rnacentral:sRNA from 6 species